GGGUUGUGAGGUUAAGCGACUAAGCGUACACGGUGGAUGCCCUGGCAGUCAGAGGCGAUGAAGGACGUGCUAAUCUGCGAUAAGCGUCGGUAAGGUGAUAUGAACCGUUAUAACCGGCGAUUUCCGAAUGGGGAAACCCAGUGUGAUUCGUCACACUAUCAUUAACUGAAUCCAUAGGUUAAUGAGGCGAACCGGGGGAACUGAAACAUCUAAGUACCCCGAGGAAAAGAAAUCAACCGAGAUUCCCCCAGUAGCGGCG
rnacentral:rRNA from 1 species